rnacentral:rRNA from 1 species
UACAGAGGAUGCAAGCGUUAUCCGGAAUGAUUGGGCGUAAAGCGUCUGUAGGUGGCUUUUUAAGUCCGCCGUCAAAUCCCAGGGCUCAACUCUGGACAGGCGGUGGAAACUACCAAGCUUGAGUACGGUAGGGGCAGAGGGAAUUUCCGGGUGGAGCGGUGAAAGUGCGUAGAGAUCGGAAAGAACACCAACGCGAAAGCACUCUGCUGGGCCGACACUGACAUGAGAGACGAAAGCUAGGGGAGCAACGGG